CAGUCGAGCGGAUGAAGUAGCUUGCUACUGGAUUCAGCGGCGGACGGGUGAGUAAUGCUUAGGAAUCUGCCUAUUAGUGGGGGACAACGUUCCGAAAGGAGCGCUAAUACCGCAUACGUCCUACGGGAGAAAGCAGGGGACCUUCGGGCCUUGCGCUAAUAGAUGAGCCUAAGUCGGAUUAGCUAGUUGGUAGGGUAAAGGCCUACCAAGGCGACGAUCUGUAGCGGGUCUGAGAGGAUGAUCCGCCACACUGGGACUGAGACACGGCCCAGACUCCUACGGGAGGCAGCAGUGGGGAAUAUUGGACAAUGGGGGGAACCCUGAUCCAGCCAUGCCGCGUGUGUGAAGAAGGCCUUUUGGUUGUAAAGCACUUUAAGCGAGGAGGAGGCUACCUAGAUUAAUACUUUAGGAUAGUGGACGUUACUCGCAGAAUAAGCACCGGCUAACUCUGUGCCAGCAGCCGCGGUAAUACAGAGGGUGCGAGCGUUAAUCGGAUUUACUGGGCGUAAAGCGUGCGUAGGCGGCCAAUUAAGUCAAAUGUGAAAUCCCCGAGCUUAACUUGGGAAUUGCAUUCGAUACUGGUUGGCUAGAGUAUGGGAGAGGAUGGUAGAAUUCCAGGUGUAGCGGUGAAAUGCGUAGAGAUCUGGAGGAAUACCGAUGGCGAAGGCAGCCAUCUGGCCUAAUACUGACGCUGAGGUACGAAAGCAUGGGGAGCAAACAGGAUUAGAUACCCUGGUAGUCCAUGCCGUANACGAUGUCUACUAGCCGUUGGGGCCCUUGAGGCUUUAGUGGCGCAGCUAACGCGAUAAGUAGACCGCCUGGGGAGUACGGUCGCAAGACUAAAACUCAAAUGAAUUGACGGGGGCCCGCACAAGCGGUGGAGCAUGUGGUUUAAUUCGAUGCAACGCGAAGAACCUUACCUGGCCUUGACAUACAGAGAACUUUCCAGAGAUGGAUUGGUGCCUUCGGGAACUCUGAUACAGGUGCUGCAUGGCUGUCGUCAGCUCGUGUCGUGNGAUGUUGGGUU
rnacentral:rRNA from 1 species